GUGGGGUGCUCGAGUGGCGAACGGGUGAGUAACACGUGAGUAACCUGCCCUUGACUUUGGGAUAACUUCAGGAAACUGGGGCUAAUACCGGAUAGGAGCUCCUGCUGCAUGGUGGGGGUUGGAAAGUUUCGGCGGUUGGGGAUGGACUCGCGGCUUAUCAGCUUGUUGGUGGGGUAGUGGCUUACCAAGGCUUUGACGGGUAGCCGGCCUGAGAGGGUGACCGGCCACAUUGGGACUGAGAUACGGCCCAGACUCCUACGGGAGGCAGCAGUGAGGAAUUUUCCGCAAUGGGCGAAAGCCUGACGGAGCAACGCCGCGUGAGUGAUGAAGGUCUUCGGAUCGUAAAACUCUGUUAUUAGGGAAGAACAAAUGUGUAAGUAACUAUGCACGUCUUGACGGUACCUAAUCAGAAAGCCACGGCUAACUACGUGCCAGCAGCCGCGGUGAUACGUAGGGUGCGAGCGUUGUCCGGAUUUAUUGGGCGUAAAGGGCUCGUAGGUGGUUGAUCGCGUCGGAAGUGUAAUCUUGGGGCUUAACCCUGAGCGUGCUUUCGAUACGGGUUGACUUGAGGAAGGUAGGGGAGAAUGGAAUUCCUGGUGGAGCGGUGGAAUGCGCAGAUAUCAGGAGGAACACCAGUGGCGAAGGCGGUUCUCUGGGCCUUUCCUGACGCUGAGGAGCGAAAGCGUGGGGAGCGAACAGGCUUAGAUACCCUGGUAGUCCACGCUGUAAACGGUGGGUACUAGGUGUGGGGUCCAUUCCACGGGUUCCGUGCCGUAGCUAACGCUUUAAGUACCCCGCCUGGGGAGUACGGCCGCAAGGCUAAAACUCAAAGGAAUUGACGGGGCCCCGCACAAGCGGCGGAGCAUGCGGAUUAAUUCGAUGCAACGCGUAGAACCUUACCUGGGUUUGACAUGG
rnacentral:rRNA from 1 species